rnacentral:rRNA from 1 species
UACGGAGGGUGCAAGCGUUAAUCGGAAUUACUGGGCGUAAAGCGCGCGUAGGUGGUUUGAUAAGCGAGAUGUGAAAGCCCCGGGCUUAACCUGGGAACGGCAUUUCGAACUGUCAGGCUAGAGUAUGGUAGAGGGUAGUGGAAUUUCCUGGUGUUAGCGGUGAAAUGACGUAGAUAUAGGAAGGAACACCAGUGGCGAAGGCGGCUACCUGGACCAAUACUGACACUGAGGUGCGAAAAGCGUGGGGAAGCAAACAGGGAUUAGAUACCCCCGUAGUCC